GUGGGGAAUUUUGGACAAUGGGGGCAACCCUGAUCCAGCCAUCCCGCGUGUGCGAUGAAGGCCUUCGGGUUGUAAAGCACUUUUGGCAGGGAAGAAACGGCCUGAGAUAAUACCUUGGGCUAAUGACGGUACCUGCAGAAUAAGCACCGGCUAACUACGUGCCAGCAGCCGCGGUAAUACGUAGGGUGCAAGCGUUAAUCGGAAUUACUGGGCGUAAAGCGUGCGCAGGCGGUUCGGAAAGAAAGGUGUGAAAUCCCAGGGCUUAACCUUGGAACUGCACUUUUAACUACCGGGCUAGAGUACGUCAGAGGGGGGUAGAAUUCCACGUGUAGCAGUGAAAUGCGUAGAGAUGUGGAGGAAUACCGAUGGCGAAGGCAGCCCCCUGGGAUGAUACUGACGCUCAUGCACGAAAGCGUGGGGAGCAAACAGGAUUAGAAACCCUAGUAGUCC
rnacentral:rRNA from 1 species